rnacentral:rRNA from 1 species
UACGUAGGGGGCAAGCGUUAUCCGGAUUUACUGGGUGUAAAGGGAGCGUAGACGGCAUGGCAAGCCUGAUGUGAAAGCCCGCGGCCCAACCGCGGGACUGCAUUGGGAACUACCGGGCUGGAGUGCCGGAGAGGUAGGCGGAAUUCCUAGUGUAGCGGUGAAAUGCGUAGAUAUUAGGAGGAACACCAGUGGCGAAGGCGGCCUACUGGACGGUGACUGACGCUGAGGCUCGAAAGCGUGGGGAGCAAACAGG